UACAGAGGGUGCAAGCGUUGUUCGGAAUUAUUGGGCGUAAAGCGCGUGUAGGCGGCUUUGCAAGUCGGGUGUGGAAGCCCUCAGCUUAACUGAGGAAGUGCGCCCGAAACUGCUUGGCUUGAGUACCGGAGAGGAUGGUGGAAUUCCCGAAGUAGAGGUGAAAUUCGUAGAUAUCGGGAGGAACACCGGUGGCGAAGGCGACCAUCUGGACGGAUACUGACGCUGAGACGCGAAAGCGUGGGUAGCAAACAGG
rnacentral:rRNA from 1 species